GGUAGAACGAGUGGCGCCGCGCUUAUCUGAUGGAAUUUUGGAUGCUUAUUUAGCAAUUGAGCUAGCAUUGGAUUCUGUAGUUAAGAUAUUUACUGUUUCCAGCAGUCCUAAUUACUUCCUUCCAUGGCAGAACAAGUCUCAGCGCGAAACGACGGGCUCUGGUUUUGUUAUUCGGGGAAAGAGAAUCCUGACAAAUGCUCAUGUUGUGGCUGAUCAUACAUUUGUACUUGUACGAAAGCAUGGUUCUCCAACCAAGUAUAGAGCAACAGUUCAGGCUGUUGGUCAUGAAUGCGACUUGGCUAUUCUGGUGGUAGAAAGUGAAGAAUUCUGGGAGGGCAUGAACUCUUUGGAGCUUGGUGAAGUUCCAUUUCUCCAAGAAGCUGUGUCUGUUGUUGGUUAUCCCCAAGGGGGAGACAAUAUAUCUGUCACAAAAGGUGUCGUCUCAAGGGUUGAACCUACACAAUAUGUACAUGGGGCUAGUCAACUAUUGGCAAUACAAAUUGAUGCGGCUAUAAAUCCAGGGAAUAGUGGAGGACCAGCAAUCAUGGGUGACAAAGUGGCUGGAGUUGCUUUCCAAAACCUUUCGGGUGCAGAGAAUAUUGGCUACAUUAUUCCUGUUCCUGUGAUAAAGCAUUUUAUAUCUGGCGUAGAAGAACGUGGUGAUUACUUUGGAUUUUGCUCUCUGGGCUUGUCAUGCCAACCUACUGAAAAUGCACAAAUUCGAGAAUACUUCCAAAUGCAGUCAAAAAUGACAGGUGUACUUGUUAGCCGAAUCAAUCCUCUUUCUGAUGCUUCUAGAGUAUUAAAGAAAGACGAUAUAGUCCUCUCAUUUGAUGGUGUCCCCAUAGCAAGUGAUGGAACAGUUCCUUUCCGAAACAGAGAGAGAAUCUCAUUUGACCAUCUCGUUUCUAUGAAGAAACCAAAUGAAACUGCUGAACUUGAAGUCUUGAGGGAUGGUGAAGUGCAUGACUUCAAGAUCACACUUCAUCCUUUGCAACCUCUUGUUCCAGUUCAUCAAUUUGACAAGCUUCCAAGUUAUUUCAUUUUUGCUGGUCUCGUCUUUAUUCCAUUAACUCAACCAUUCCUUCACGAGUAUGGAGAAGAAUGGUAUAAUACCUCACCCCGCCGGUUGUGUGAACGGGCACUUCGGGAACUACCUAAGAAACCUGGCGAACAAUUCGUCAUCCUUUCACAGGUGUUGAUGGAUGAUAUUAAUGCUGGUUAUGAGCGCCUUGCUGAGUUACAGGUGAAGAAGGUUAACGGUGUAGAAGUUCUGAAUCUGAAACAU
rnacentral:misc_RNA from 1 species